GACGAACGCUGGCGGUGUGCUUAACACAUGCAAGUCGAACGGAAAGGCCCUGCUUUUGUGGUGUUCUCGAGUGGCGAACGGGUGAGUAACACGUGAGUAACCUGCUCUUCUUUUUGGGAUAACUUCAGGAAACUGGGGCUAAUACCGUAUAGGAUCCCCUGUUGCAUGGUGGGGGGUGGAAAUUUUCGGCGGUUGGGGUUGGACUGGCGGCUUAUCAGCUUGUUGGUCGGGUAGUGGCUGACCAAGGCUGUGAAGGAUAGCCGGCCCGGGAGGGGGACCGGCGACAAGACGACUACGAGAGGCCGCAGACUCGUACGGGAGGCAACGGUCGGAAGUAUGACACAGCGAGCCGGAGCCUGAUGCGAAAGCGCCGGGUGCGGGAUGACGGCCUUUGGGUUGAGAACCGCUUUCGCCUGAGACGAAGCGUGAGUGACGGUAAUGAGUAAAGAAGCACCGGCUAACUACGUG
rnacentral:rRNA from 1 species